CCGCGUGGACGAUGAAGGCCUUCGGGUCGUAAAGUCCUUUUUGCUCGGGAACAAUAUUUUUGAGCGUACCGAGAGAAUAAGAGGGUUGCUAACUCUGUGC
rnacentral:rRNA from 1 species